rnacentral:rRNA from 1 species
GACAGAGGGGGCAAGCGUUGCUCGGAAUUACUGGGCGUAAAGGGCGCGUAGGCGGCCAACUAAGUCGGACGUGAAAUCCCCGGGCUCAACCCGGGAACUGCGUCCGAUACUGGAUGGCUUGAAUCCGGGAGAGGGAUGUGGAAUUCCAGGUGUAGCGGUGAAAUGCGUAGAUAUCUGGAGGAACACCGGUGGCGAAGGCGGCAUCCUGGACCGGUAUUGACGCUGAGGCGCGAAAGCCAGGGGAGCAAACGGG